UGAAGCCCCAGUGAACGGCGGCCGUAACUAUAACGGUCCUAAGGUAGCGAAAUUCCUUGUCAGGUAAGUUCUGACCUGCACGAAUGGUGUAACGACUGGAGCGCUGUCUCAACCAGAGACUCGGUGAAAUUGAACUGGCCGUUUAGAUGCGGCCUACCCGCAGCAGGACGAAAAGACCCCGUGGAGCUUUACUACAGCUUGGCACUGAGUCUGGACUCUUCAUGUGUAGGAUAGGUGGGAGGCUUUGAAGCCGGAGCGCCAGCUUCGGUGGAGCCAUCCUUGAAAUACCACCCUUGGAGAGUUUAGCCUCUAACCCCUGAUCAAGCAGGGGGACAGUGUCUGGUGGGUAGUUUGGCUGGGGCGGCCGCCUCCUAAAAAGUAACGGAGGCGCCCAAAGGUUCCCUCAGGGUGAAUGGAACCCACCCGUAGAGCGCAUUGGCAUAAGGGAGCUUGACUGCGAGACACACAAGUCGAGCAGGGACGAAAGUCGGGCAAAGUGAUCCCACGGUUCUGAGUGGAAGGGCCGUGGCUUAACGGAUAAAAGCUACCCCGGGGAUAACAGGCUUAUCUUGCCCAAGAGUUCACAUCGACGGCAAGGUUUGGCACCUCGAUGUCGGCUCGUCGCAUCCUGGGGCCGGAGAAGGUCCCAAGGGUCCGGCUGUUCGCCGGUUAAAGCGGCACGCGAGCUGGGUUCAGACCGUCGUGAGACAGGUCGGUCUCUAUCCGUGGUGGGCGCCCAGAGAUUUGAGGAGGCCUUUCCCUAGUACGAGAGGAUCGGGAAGGACAGACCAAUGGUGUACCAGUUGUUCUGCCAAGGGCAUUGCUGGGUAGCCAAGUCUGGUUCGGAUAAGCACUGAAAGCAUCUAAGUGCGAAACCGGCUCCAAGAUUAGAUCUCUCACCCUUCCUUCGGGAGGGGGUAAGACCGCAGGUAGACUACCUGCUUGAUAGGCCACAGGUGUAAGCAUGGCAACAUGUUCAGCUGAGUGGUACUAAUGGUCGAGGGCUUGACCU
rnacentral:rRNA from 1 species